GACAGAGGUGCCGAGCGUUAGGCGGAAUCACUGGGCUUAAAGCGUGUGUAGGUGGAUGCCUAAGUACCUUGUGAAAUCCCACGGCUUAACCGUGGAACUGCUUGGUAUACUGGGUGUCUUGAGCCAGGCUAGGGGCUACCGGAACAAAUGGUGGGAGCGGUGAAAUGCGUAGAUAUCAUUUGGAACGCCAAUGGUGAAAACAGGUAGCUGGGGCUGUGCUGACACUGAGACACGAAAGCCAGGGGAGCGAACGGG
rnacentral:rRNA from 1 species